ensembl:lncRNA
UUUACCUCAAAGCUGACUGUUAUUCAGCCAGACACUCUUCAGUGACUCCAGGCAAAAAAGCAUUGAAGUCUUCAGUGAGGUUCAAUCCGAAAGCAGUUACAGAUUACAGUAUUCUCAACUGUCAUCGACUAUCCUGCGCCUCGGGACUCCACUGUUCCAGCUUUGCCUCGUCCCUCUGGCUCCGUCAGGCUCCUUCAUCCCCUCGGCUUCUCCUUAGUCCCCUGUCGCUCUGGUUCCACCACGGCCUCCCGGAUCCACACCUUCGAGUCGGUCGCCAGCGCCAUCUGCUCCGCCUAGGACCUCCGGAUCAUCCCCAUUGUGCUGGCCUAUCAGCUUUCUGUCUCUGCCUUGGGCUCCUCCACCACCUGCUCCGCCACUGUUGGUUGCCCCCCUGGAGUCGGCAGUCAUUUGUACAUCUCUCUCUCUCUCUCUCUCUCUAUAUAUAUAUAUAUAUAUAUAUAUAUACACAUUUAGUCAUUUAGCAGACGCUUUUAUUCAAAGCAACUUACAAAAAAUGAGGACAAUGGAAGCAAUCAAAAUCAACAAAAGAGCAAUGAUAUACAAGUGCUAAUAACAAGUCUCAGCUAGUUUGAUGCAGUACACAUAGCAAGCGUUUUUUUUAAAUAAUAUAAUAAAUAAAAAGAAAAAAGAGAAUAGAAAAAGAAUGGAGCAAGCUAGUGUUAG